UGCCCCCUGGCCCAGCUGGUUAAGGCGCACGACUGUUAACUACCCAUGUUGAUCGUGAGAUCGAGAGUUCAAACCUCUCGGGGGCAG